AUUGAACGCUGGCGGCAUGCCUUACACAUGCAAGUCGAACGGUAACGCGGGGCAACCUGGCGACGAGUGGCGAACGGGUGAGUAAUGCAUCGGAACGUGCCUAGUAGUGGGGGAUAGCCCGGCGAAAGCCGGAUUAAUACCGCAUACGACCUACGGGUGAAAGCGGGGGAUCGCAAGACCUCGUGCUAUUGGAGCGGCCGAUGUCAGAUUAGGUAGUUGGUGGGGUAAAGGCCUACCAAGCCUUCGAUCUGUAGCUGGUCUGAGAGGACGACCAGCCACACUGGGACUGAGACACGGCCCAGACUCCUACGGGAGGCAGCAGUGGGGAAUUUUGGACAAUGGGCGCAAGCCUGAUCCAGCCAUGCCGCGUGCGGGAAGAAGGCCUUCGGGUUGUAAACCGCUUUUGUCAGGGAAGAAACGCUCCGGGCUAAUAUCCUGGGGUAAUGACGGUACCUGAAGAAUAAGCACCGGCUAACCUCGUGCCAGCAGCCGCCGCCG
rnacentral:rRNA from 1 species